ACAAAGUGACAGGUGGUGCAUGGUUGUCGUCAGCUCGUGUCGUGAGAUGUUGGGUUAAGUCCCGCAACGAGCGCAACCCUUAAGCUUAGUUGCCAUCAUUAAGUUGGGCACUCUAGGUUGACUGCCGGUGACAAACCGGAGGAAGGUGGGGAUGACGUCAAAUCAUCAUGCCCCUUAUGAUUUGGGCUACACACGUGCUACAAUGGACAAUACAAAGGGCAGCUAAACCGCGAGGUCAUGCAAAUCCCAUAAAGUUGUUCUCAGUUCGGAUUGUAGUCUGCAACUCGACUACAUGAGGCUGGAAUCGCUAGUAAUCGUAGAUCAGCAUGCUACGGUGAAUACGUUCCCGGGUCUUGUACACACCGCCCGUCACACCACGAGAGUUUGUAACACCCGAAGCCGGUGGAGUAACCAUUUAUGGAGCUAGCCGUCGAAGGUGGGACAAAUGAUUGGGGUGAAGUCGUAACAAGGUAGCCGUAUCGGAAGGUGCGGCUGGAUCACCUC
rnacentral:rRNA from 1 species